AUUGAACGCUGGCGGCAGGCCUAACACAUGCAAGUCGAGCGAGCGGCGGACGGGUGAGUAAUGUCUGGGAAACUGCCUGAUGGAGGGGGAUAACUACUGGAAACGGUAGCUAAUACCGCAUACCAUCAGAUGUGCCCAGAUGGGAUUAGCUAGUGGGUGGGGUAACGCCUCACCUAGGCGACGAUCCCUAGCUGGUCUGAGAGGAUGACCGGCCACACGGGAACUGAGACACGGUCCAUACUCCUACGGGAGGCAGCAGUGGGGAAUAUUGCACAAUGGGCGCAAGCCUGAUGCAGCCAUGCCGCGUGUGUGAAGAAGGCCUUCGGGUUGUAAAGCUCUUUCAGCGGGGAGGCGUUACCCAAAGAAGAAGCACCGGCUAACUCCGUGCCAGCAGCCGCGGUAAUAC
rnacentral:rRNA from 1 species